CUUGUCAGUAGGAGAUACACUGUAUCAUAUUGAUUAAAGUUGCAAAGCAUUUAAUUGUUAUUGAGAUUGUUAUUGAAGAAAUAAUAAAUAAGUUUUAGUUUUGUUUUGAUUAUGGAAUAGUUGUGUUGUGUUAUUUAGAAUUGGAAAAUACAGAACAAAAAGAAUUUUUGUUUACGAUUUAAAAAGAAUUCGAUCAAGGGUUACAUUCAAUUGUUGACCAAAAGCAUUAAAUUGCGAUAAGAGAAAAAUAAAAAGAAUUGAUUGGGGUUACAUUCAAUUGUUGACCAAAGGCAUUAAAUUGCUAUAAAAGAACCGGAAGGAUUGGUGGUGCAUUUAAUUGUUAACUAAAAAAAAAGGAGAUGAUGAGCGCCUCAGGAAUAAAACCUUUUCUUUGUGAGACCAUCGAUAAGUCUUUGAUUACGUCAGAAUGGGAAAAGUGGUAUCGCUCAUUUGUUCUUUAUUUGGAGUCGGAAGAAAUUAUCGAUGCAGUUAAAAAGAAAAAUAAGCUUUUGCAUCUUGGAGGACCGCAGUUGCAAGAGGUAAUUUUUAAUAUCCCUGGAGCAUUGGUCAGUUGUGUUACUACUGGGGACGAUAUUGUUUCUGAAGAUGUAUUCAAGGUGUUAGUAAAAAAGCUAAACGAAUAUUUUUCUCCAAAGAGAAAUUCGACAUUUGAAAGACAUUUGUUCAGAACGCUGAAGUCGGAUGAUGGGGAGAAUUUCAAUAAGUUUCUUUUACGGCUACGCAAUCAGGCAGCUAAAUGCUCUUUUGGUGAAACAAAGCAAGAGAUUUGUGAAAUAAAUAUAAAAGAUAAAGUUAUAGA